rnacentral:rRNA from 1 species
UACGAAGGGGGCUAGCGUUGCUCGGAAUUACUGGGCGUAAAGGGAGCGUAGGCGGACAUUUAAGUCAGAGGUGAAAUCCCGGAGCUUAACUUCGGAACUGCCUUUGAUACUGGGUGUCUUGAGUGUGAGAGAGGUAUGUGGAACUCCGAGUGUAGAGGUGAAAUUCGUAGAUAUUCGGAAGAACACCAGUGGCGAAGGCGACAUACUGGCUCAUUACUGACGCUGAGGCUCGAAAGCGUGGGGAGCAAACAGGA